AACGAACGCUGGCGGCAGGCCUAACACAUGCAAGUCGAACGCCGUAGCAAUACGGAGUGGCAGACGGGUGAGUAACGCGUGGGAACAUACCCCUCGGUUCGGAAUAACUUAGGGAAACUUGAGCUAAUACCGGAUACGUCCGAGGUUUUAACCGGCCUCGGAGAAAGAUUUAUCGCCGGAGGAUUGGCCCGCGUCUGAUUAGCUUGUUGGUGAGGUAAUGGCUCACCAAGGCGACGAUCAGAGCUGGUCUGAGAGGAUGAUCAGCCACAUUGGGACUGAGACACGGCCCAAACUCCUACGGGAGGCAGCAGUGGGGAAUAUUGGACAAUGGGCGAAAGCCUGAUCCAGCCAUGCCGCGUGAGUGAUG
rnacentral:rRNA from 1 species